rnacentral:tRNA from 1 species
UGGGAUAUGGCCAAGUGGUAAGGCAGUGGGUUUUGGUCCCGUGAUUCGGAGGUUCGAAUCCUUCUAUCCCAG